rnacentral:rRNA from 1 species
GAUGAACGCUGGCGGCGUGCCUAAUACAUGCAAGUCGAGCGAACAGACGAGGAGCUUGCUCCUCUGACGUUAGCGGCGGACGGGUGAGUAACACGUGGAUAACCUACCUAUAAGACUGGGAUAACUUCGGGAAACCGGAGCUAAUACCGGAUAAUAUAUUGAACCGCAUGGUUCAAUAGUGAAAGACGGUUUUGCUGUCACUUAUAGAUGGAUCCGCGCCGCAUUAGCUAGUUGGUAAGGUAACGGCUUACCAAGGCAACGAUGCGUAGCCGACCUGAGAGGGUGAUCGGCCACACUGGAACUGAGACACGGUCCAGACUCCUACGGGAGGCAGCAGUAGGGAAUCUUCCGCAAUGGGCGAAAGCCUGACGGAGCAACGCCGCGUGAGUGAUGAAGGUCUUCGGAUCGUAAAACUCUGUUAUUAGGGAAGAACAAAUGUGUAAGUAACUAUGCACGUCUUGACGGUACCUAAUCAGAAAGGCACGGCUAACUACGUG